UACAGAGGUCUCAAGCGUUAUUCGGAUUCACUGGGCGUAAAGGGUGCGCAGGCGGUUGGGUGUGUCAGAUGUGAAAUCCCGAGGCUCAACCUCGGAACUGCGUCUGAAACUACUCGACUAGAGUACUGGAGAGGGUAACGGAAUUCACGGUGUAGCAGUGGAAAUGCGUAGAUAUCGUGAGGAACACCAGAGGCGAAGGCGGUUACCUGGACAGUUACUGACGCUCAGGCACGAAAGCAUGGGGGAGCAAAAGGG
rnacentral:rRNA from 1 species